ensembl:lncRNA
CAGAGUCCAUGUAACGUUAGAUGAGGAUCUUCGUGACCGUGGGUUUGUCCUAAAUGUUUUAUUGAGAGUCUGGCACAACACAGCGACUUGCAAGCAGCGUAUUAAAUAAAGUGACGUGUGUCUUAAUGCGGCUUUGCAAAUGAACACAAAGGGAUUCUGUAUUUGCUCAUGAAGCCUGAACAUACGGGUUAUUUGGCCAAUGUUUUGAUAACCGACCGCUGCCAGUUCAGUGUUUCCCAUCAUUAUAAACAGGGGCGCGCCCCCCAUGACGUAGUGAACCUGGGGGAGACACUGCAGUCUACCUAAUCGAUGCGAACAACGUGUGUGUGACUCGUGUCACCGGUAAAUGUGUUGUGGUUUUAUCUGUAUAAGUUAGAUACACGUGUUGUUUUUGUGUCGUGUCUCUGAAUGUCGCCAUGUUUCCAUCAUCCCAACGGCAGGUCACGUGAUCUGCAGGCGCCUUCUGAUCACAUUGUAACGGACUGACGUGUUGUGUGAGCGAGGUUACGCAUUAAGAGUUUGUCCUUAAUGGAAUUUCUUACAUUACUUUUAUACUUUAAGUAGUUUUGAAACCAGUACUUUUAUACGUUUACUUAAGUAAAAAUCUUGAGUUGGUAAUUCUACAAACUUCUACAGGAGUCUUUUUAAACCCUAGUAUAUGUACUUCUAUUGAGUAAUGAAUGUGAAUACUUUUGACACCUCUGGUCAUUUCUUCUUCUUAUUCCCCUCAUUAAAGCUGGCUCACCACUGUAAUUACUCACACAUGAAGAGUAAUAACAGUGAUUAGGAAGGUGGGACCAAUUUACUCAAAUUAGUAAUCCAAUAUGUGCUGCUUCAUAAUUCUGCUCUGCUGUGUUUUGGAAGGAAAAUUCAUCCUUUUUCAUUCAUUUAUCAUCUUACAAGUUGUCGUCGAAGGAUCUUAUCAGUUUUUAAGUUCACCUGUAUCCUCUAACAAAAGGCCUCUACCGUAACCAGCCAACACAUAGCAUAUAGCUACAGAAUUUCUUUUUGUGCAUAAUACGUUAUUUAUCUUUUUUUUUGUCCAACUAACAGUCACAAACAAAGAGAAUUACCAUUUACACAAAUAUAGAAACAGAAGUAGAAAAUUGUCAUGUUUGAAGAAAUGUUAAAAAAGCACAAUCUUGGGGUAUUUUUCCUCUUCAAAAUGGAUGAAGACACUGGAACAUGCGUGAUGAUCACGAGCGUCUGACAUGCAACACAUUGCCUAAACAAGACACACCAUUUUUGAAAUACCGUGUAUUCUGGAUAUUAUUACAUUCCACACAAACAACAAUGCAGUCACCCAGUUGAGCCUGUGCUCAUGUUCCCCGUGUGACUCUCAGCGCUGCGUUCCUCCUUCCUGUCGGCAGAUGUCUCUGGUGUAUCUCGGGUUACCAGCUGCUGGAGGCGGUGCGAUGGGGACGGGAUGACGAUGUCAAAGCCCUGAUGGCCAACGGGGCUCCGUUCACUACGGACUGGCGCGUUAAUUAUGGAAUAAUCAUUGGGCUAAUCCAUGACGACACGAGUGUGAACCACUGCAGGGAAACAGAAACCGUCGGCUCUUAAUGACGGUUUGACAGUAAUGCUGAGGCGUCGCAUUGAGUUCAAAAGACAGCAAAAAAGGAAAAGAAACAUCAACUGGGCUCGUCGCCCAGCAGGGCCACCACUCCCAUCAGCGUCCAAAGUGGACAAGACCCCUCUUCACAUGGCCGCCUC